CCAAUAGCGUAUAUUAAAGUUGUUGCAGUUAAAAAGCUCGUAGUUGAACUUCGGGGUUUACCCAUUGGUCAGGUUUAAUUAUCUGUACUGGUGAGAUAAAUCUCUACCUUCUGAGGAACUUUCAUGCCAUUUAUUUGGUGUGGGAGGAAAUCAGGACUGUUACUUUGAAAAAAUUAGAGUGUUUAAAGCAGACUAACGUCUGAAUACAUUAGCAUGGAAUAAUGAAAUAGGACGGACUGAUUCUAUUUCGUUGGUUUCUAGGAUCACCGUAAUGAUUAAUAGGGAUAGUUGGGGGCAUUAGUAUUCAAUUGUCAGAGGUGAAAUUCUUGGAUUUAUUGAAGACUAACUACUGCGAAAGCAUUUGCCAAGGAUGUUUUCAUUAAUCAAGAACGAAAGUUAGGGGAUCGAAGACGAUCAGAUACCGUCGUAGUCUUAACCAUAAACUAUGCCGACUAGGGAUCGGACGAAGUUAAUUUUAUAAUGACGCGUUCGGCACCUUACG
rnacentral:rRNA from 1 species